rnacentral:rRNA from 1 species
UACAGAGGUGGCAAGCGUUGUUCGGAAUUACUGGGCGUAAAGGGCGCGUAGGCGGCUUGGUCAGUCCCGUGUGAAAUCCCUCGGCUCAACUGAGGAACUGCACGGGAAACUGCCUGGCUUGAGUUCGGGAGAGGGAAGCGGAAUUCCGGGUGUAGCGGUGAAAUGCGUAGAUAUCCGGAGGAACACCGGUGGCGAAGGCGGCUUCCUGGACCGGCAUUGACGCUGAGGCGCGAAAGCUAGGGGAGCAAACGGG